UACGAGAGGCCCAAACGUUAUUCGGAAUCACUGGGCGUAAAGGGUGCGUAGGCGGGUCUUUAAGUCAGGGGUGAAAUCCUGGAGCUCAACUCCAGAACUGCCUUUGAUACUGAAGAUCUUGAGUUCGGGAGAGGUGAGUGGAACUGCGAGUGUAGAGGUGAAAUUCGUAGAUAUUCGCAAGAACACCAGUGGCGAAGGCGGCUCACUGGCCCGAUACUGACGCUGAGGCACGAAAGCGUGGGGAGCAAACAGG
rnacentral:rRNA from 1 species